rnacentral:rRNA from 1 species
GACGAACGCUGGCGGCGUGCCUAAUACAUGCAAGUUGAGCGCUGAAGGUUGGUCCUUGUACCAACUGGAUGAGCAGCGAACGGGUGAGUAACGCGUGGGGAAUCUGCCUUUGAGCGGGGGACAACAUUUGGAAACGAAUGCUAAUACCGCAUAAAAACUUUAAACACAAGUUUUAAGUUUGAAAGAUGCAAUUGCAUCACUCAAAGAUGAUCCCGCGUUGUAUUAGCUAGUUGGUGAGGUAAAGGCUCACCAAGGCGAUGAUACAUAGCCGACCUGAGAGGGUGAUCGGCCACAUUGGGACUGAGACACGGCCCAAACUCCUACGGAAGGCAGCAGUAGGGAAUCUUCGGCAAUGGACGAAAGUCUGACCGAGCAACGCCGCGGGAGUGAAGAAGGUUGUCGGAUCGUAAAACUCUGUUGGUAGAGAAGAACGUUGGUGAGAGUGGAAAGCUCAUCAAGUGACGGUAACUACACAGAAAGGGACGGCUAACUACGUG